rnacentral:rRNA from 1 species
UACAGAGGUCCCAAGCGUUGUUCGGAUUCACUGGGCGUAAAGGGUGCGUAGGCGGUCGGGUAAGUCUGAUGUGAAAGCCCGAGGCUCAGCCUCGGAAGUGCGUCGGAAACUAGUCGGCUGGAGCGCGAUAGAGGAGGGUGGAAUUCCUGGUGUAGCGGUGAAAUGCGUAGAUAUCAGGAGGAACACCGGCGGCGAAGGCGGCCCUCUGGAUCGUUGCUGACGCUGAUACGCGAAAGCGUGGGGAGCAAACAGG